GUCAACGGGCAAUGCUAGCCUGCUAUUAAAAACAGUCUUACCCACUCCACAGUACACCCGAGGUAAAUCAAUUAUAACGCCAGACUAUAGAUUGAAAUGUCUGUGUUGAUAGAAUAAUGUUAGAAAUAAAACUAACCAUGCAUCGCAUGAAUCAUCGAGGGACUACUUUCUCAGCAGAAGCGGAAUUCUACUAUGCGCUGGUUAGGUUUGUAACCGAAUCACGACAGAAGAACGUAAACAGAGAAGCGUGGGACAGAAGCGCAAUUGAACGACUAGGCAACAUGAUGGUUCAGUGUGCUUUUAGAAAUUGUAGAAAUAAACGGUACAGAUGGGCACCACAAAGUUUCCACCAAUUUCCAGUGCGAGAUCCAUAAAGGACUCAACUGUGGCUUGUUGCUGCUGGCUUUGACAUCAAAACACCGGCUCGUACAUGUACGGUUCGUUGGAUACAACAAAUUCCUCAUAAUCGUCUUCAAAAGCAGAUGCAUCGCUAACUCCUCCAAACGUGGCCAUAUCUUGUUAAUUUAAUACUCUUGUAGAAUUCCUUCGUUCACUGUACUCUGCGUUUGUAGCAAUGACAGCGGCAGGUAACCUAGGUAUCAGUCCGCCGCUGCCGUAGCCUACGUACAGGAAUAUAAACACUGCUGCUGGGACCCCGCAAUUCCCUCAAAAUGCAAUGCAAUGCAAGGUUAAGCUCCAUGAAACUGUAAAAGGUUCAGCACAUCCCUCUUGCCCCUCAAACGCUUCAAGAGAAAGAGCAAUUGAAUUUCAGCACGAAGUGGUUGGUGAGGAUGUGGCGAAGGAUUCUUCGAACCGCGUCGCCAGGAUUGCAGCCCCCAAGCGCACUAAGGUGUGCUGCCUGCAGAAGAUCCUCCACCCUUUGAAGGUCUUCCUCGCAGUUCAUUGGGAACUUAAAUUCCUCAGAUAGAGUGUCUGCUGCUGCUGCUGCUGCUGUCGUUUUUUGCCUAGUAAGGGCCUGGAGGAGGAGGUUGUUCUGCCUCACCAAGGCCUUCAACUCCUCCACAGCACGCAGGAGUGCAUGAUCCCGUUCUACAGGACAGAAAAACAUCAUGACUGUCAUGUCAAGAGGUGCUCCUGGUUUGGGCUUUUUUCUGGUUCAUACGCGCUGCAUCAUAAUUGGCUGUUGAAGACAACAAUGAAUUCUCAUCUGGCAUAGCGCUUUGGAUGACUGCAAUUUUCGUCCGCUUGGUGUCUUUAUACGGUGGCCAAAAAGACACCUUGCCGUCCAAACUUAGCCACGAGCAAGGCACAACCUCCACCUCAUUUGACUCGGUUCCCAACCACAGCUGUCCCCAGUGCAGUUGAAUCAACAGGGUGGUUGAAAAAUGGACGUUGGUCUAAAUAUUGCCUCGCCACAAAAGACAUACCACCAAGUGUCCUGCUAAUUGCCUCUAUUUUAAAAGUGGCACCACCACACGAAACUGUGUUGUUCCCAUCCUUUGUGGACAGGGUAAAUCUAUCAGUGGCGUACUGUGUUGUUGAGGGUGAACUUUGGUUAUGGGAAGAUGGACAGACUGGGUUGAUGCUUGAUUUUUCCGUUAAUCGUUUAACAAUUUGUUGUAAUGUCUGGUUUGGCUUUCUAAUUAGUUUCUUUAAUUUAUACAAGAAAUUUUCGAAGGGAAAGGCAGAAAUUUGGGGUAGUGGGCCAUAUUUUCUAACAUCACUUGCCAGGUGGAUCAAGCUGUGGACGUUAUACACCAGAAAGUCCCCAUAGAUGGCGUGAAAAUUCUGAACGAACACUACCAGGAGAUUUUCCGUAUAGUCACAAUAACGGUGGUGGAGACGGGGGGAACAUAAAAUUGUUAUUGCUACGUGGAGUAAAAGAAAAUGUUGAUACAUGUGUUUUGGUAGGUUUUUUUUUUAAUGCAAUGGGGCCAGUGUAUAGUAAAAAAGUCCUAAAUUCAGUGGCCUUCCACCGAUCAACCUCACGGAGGGACCUUCCCUUGCGUCCAAACUCCUUUGGCAGCCUCUUGCCCAAUUUGAUUAAGUUCUCUGAAAUAAUGCAGAUGGAUUGACUCCCAAUGCGGGUUGGAAGGGGCCCUCUCUGCCACAGCCAGAUCAACUUUCUCAUCACUCCUAGGCACACCAGGUGCAUAAAGUCCAGCACAAAUUGGGUCACCAAGCCUACAUCUAGGUGUUGUAAUGGACUGUCGCCCUCUUUGUGAUGUUCCUGGUUGACUUUUGUGGCAAAACUGUCAUCGGUUCUGAGAACCGCAUCUGUUUCGGAGUAAUUUAGGCGUCGGUUUGCCCAUGAGCCCUCUUGCAUGCACCUUUCGCAGCCGUAAUAGGAAUUGUGUGCUUUUAUGUUUUUUAGAAAUGCCCUUGCCGGUGCAUCACAGACAAAACAGGAAAUUUCGAUUUUUUUUUUUUGACUGAUACUCCAAGCCAUCAGAUGCAAGCUUCCCCAUCUCUGCCACAAAGUCAGAGAGGUACUCGCUUGCAUCGGUUGGCUUGGAGUAUCCGCAAUAUAAACCAAUUAGAAAUGGGGAUCUAAUGGGGUCCUCUUCAAUUAGUGCAAGAAUUGGCCAAAAUUGCUGGCUGCUGCUUUUAAAAAGGGCCAGGCCAUCCACAUUUAUUUGUAGUUUUAGUGUUUGGUUUUUAGCUAAGUCCUGUUCUUGCAUUCGGCCCAAGAUCCCUUUUGCCACACCAAAAUAGUGCAUGUUCCCCCCAGCUUUUGGUACUAUCUCCGCAUAAGUAGGGGUUGACAGGAGAGUGCGGCCGUCUUUUGGCAGUUUGGAAUCUGGGAAGUGCUUGCGAAGCACGGAGAGCAGGCUGGAAAUGUGGGAAAUUGGUGUAUUUGUUGUGAUUGCCCAUUCCUUGAGCUCAUGUCUUAAGUCCCUUUGAAAACUGCCCCCCUCCUCUGAAUCUGAGCCACUGCUAGAGCUCGACAAAUCAUUGAACUCCCAGUCAUCCUCGCCAGAGGAGGCGCUCUCCUCUGAUGCCAUUACCCAAUCCCCAUCUCCGCUUUAAAUGAUCGUUUUCUAUUUCUGUGUAAGCUGGGACACUUGGUGGUGUGUCUAAUGUGUCUGCGCCAGCGGCCAGGUUAAAGUAAGUGGGCCCGCUAGCAUGAAGCGCUGCCAACGCAGCAUCCGCUCCUCUUUUAACAUGCCUUCGCAGCGACCUCUUUGAUAAAAUUAUUUUACUCUCUGCCAUUUUUUGUAAUUUUGCUGUCGUAAGAGGUAGGCUAUAAUUGAAUUAUUUUGUAGCGGCUAGACGGUAACCCGGCUGGCGGCUAGCUAGCUGGCUAGCUACAGUUGUUGGCGAAUUUGUUGACAACAUUACGACUAGAUUCGCCAACAUUACGACUAGCGCUAGCAAUUUAGCCGGUACUUUGUCAAACGGGUGGGGUUUGCCUUACCUUGGCUAAGUGAACCGGUUUACUUGUUUCUUUGUUUUGGUAUUGUUUGACGGGUUUACUGGACGAUGUGAAGUUGUCGGCAUCAAAUGUGGUUGUUGGCAGGCAACUGACGGUUAUUUUUCGUUGUUAUAUGGACGCGAGCUUUGUUGACGGUUAUUUUUUGAUGUUAUAUGGUCGCGAGCUUAUUGCUGUUAUUGUUGCAUAUCAUAUCAGUUUGGAACGACGCUGAAGUUGGCAUCCGAUUCGCAGCAUCCGAUUCAGCAGCUGGUCCACUUUAAAUCGGUCCUGAUUGAAAACCACUACACCUAGACUCUUCAAAUCUGGACUAAAUUAUCAUAGUGAGGCUAUACAUUAUAAUAAACAUAGUUACAGAUUUGUGAAACCUUUUUUCUAUUUGUGAAAAUGCAAUACAGGCUCAUUUUAAUGCUUUUUAGGGGUCCAGACUGCAUUAGAACGGGUCCUGAUUGAAAACCACUACACCUAGACUCUUCAAAUCUGGACUCAAUUAUCACAGUGAGGAUAUACAUUAUGUAAAACAUAGUUUCAGAUUUGUGAAACCUUUAACCUAUUUGUGAAAAUGCAAUGUGGUCUGGACCCCUAAAAAGCAUUCAAAUAAGCCUGUAUUGCAUUUUCACAAAUAGGGUAAAGGUUUCACAAAUCUGAAACUAUGUUUUACAUAAUGUAUAGCCUCACUGUGAUAAUGUAGUCCAGAUUUGAAGAGUCUAGGUGUAGUGGUUUUCAAUCAGGACCGAUUUGAAGAUUCUAAGUGGUUUUCAAGCCGAAUCGGAUGCUGUGAAUCGGAUGCCAACUUCAGCGUCGUCAGUUUGGACCCGUUUCUCAAAAAAGAAAACAUGCUACAUCAGGGGUCCUGUACUGAUGAAGCAAUAUUGUAAGCAAAGCAAUAAAGUAGUGUUAUCAGGGUAGCACCAGUGCUAUCUUGUACUCAUUUCCCUAAUAUGUGGUUUAUCCCCCCCUGGUUUAUCUGUCCCUACUCCCCCAAUCCCUUAACCUCCCCAUCUACCAAUACUUUUCAGUUCCCAUCUCUCAGACUUACCUGAUCCUCCAUCCAAACUCUGAUGUUGGAAUCCAUGCUGUCCAGUCCAUGUGAAGAGCACAGGAAGGCUUG
ensembl:lncRNA